CCCUUAGAUGUCCUGGGCUGCACGCGCGCUACACUGACACGUUCAACGAGUUUUUCCUGCUCUGAAAAGACUGGGUAAUCUUUGGAAAACGUGUCGUGAUGGGGAUAGAUUAUUGCAAUUAUUAAUCUUCAACGAGGAAUUCCUAGUAAGUGCAAGUCAUAAGCUUGCGCUGACUACGUCCCUGCCCUUUGUACACACCGCCCGUCGCUACUACCGAUUGAAUGAUUUAGUGAGGACUUCGGACUGGGACCGAUGCGGCUUUCGGGCUGCGUCGGUAUUCUGGAAAGAUGUCCAAACUGUAUCAUUUAGAGGAAGUAAAAGUCGUAACA
rnacentral:rRNA from 1 species